GACGAACGCUGGCGGCGUGCUUAACACAUGCAAGUCGAACGCUGAAGCUCAGCUUGCUGGGUGGAUGAGUGGCGAACGGGUGAGUAACACGUGAGUAACCUGCCCUCUUCUUUGGGAUAACGCCCGGAAACGGGUGCUAAUACUGGAUAUUCACUGAUUCUCGCCUGGGGGUUGGUGGAAAGGUUUUUUCUGGUGGGGGAUGGCCUCGCGGCCUAUCAGCUUGUUGGUGGGGUGAUGGCCUACCAAGGCUUUGACGGGUAGCCGGCCUGGGAGGGUGACCGGUGACGUUGGGACUGAGAUACGGGCCAGACUCCUGCGGGAGGCAGCAGGGGGGAAUAUUGGACAAUGGGCGAAAGCCGGGUGCAGCGGCGCCGCGGGGGGGAGGGAGGGCUUGGGGUUGUAAACCUCUGUCGCUCAUGGUCAAGGCGCAGGAUGGGGUUGGGGUGAGGGUAGUGGGUAAAGAAGCGCCGGCUAACUACGUG
rnacentral:rRNA from 1 species